AGCAGCCGCGGUAAUUCCAGCUCCAAUAGCGUAUAUUAAAGUUGUUGCAGUUAAAAAGCUCGUAGUUGAAUUUCGGGAUCACCAGGUUGGUCGUGCCUCCGGUAUGUACUUGCCUAGGUGGUCCCUCCUUCUUGAAGAACCGUAAUGGCAUUAAUUUGUUGUUGCGGGGAAACAGGACUGUUACUUUGAAAAAAUUAGAGUGUUUAAAGCAGGCAA
rnacentral:rRNA from 1 species